rnacentral:tRNA from 1 species
UAGCUCAGAUGGUAAAGCGUCUGCUUGCAAUGCAGGAGACCCAGGUUCAACCCCUGG